AGAUAUGUUUGGUUAAUUGGUGA
rnacentral:miRNA from 1 species